rnacentral:rRNA from 1 species
AUGGAAGCACCAAAAUAUCCGAUCCACCACCACCGCAAGCACCGCCCGAGCGGCAACACCUGCGCCCUCUCUCUCUCUCUCUCUAAAAACCCCAGGUACCGCGCCGCGGCGAACGCCGGCGAGAUGGCAGGGGCCCUCGCGCGACCGCGCAAUGCUAGCGACGACCGCAUCAACGAGCUACCGGAAGUACUCCUCUCGGACAUCCUCUCCCGCCUCGGUACCGCAGAGGCGGCCCGCACCGUCGUCCUCUCCACGCGCCUCCGCGACGCGUGGCUCGCGAGCCCCCUCCGCCUCGACGAUCUCGAGCUCCCCGUCCCCGCACGCGGCAAGGUCCCCUCGAUCGAGCCCUGGACGGCGCGCGCCGACGUCGUCACCCGCGCCCUAGACUCCCACCCCGGCCCCGUCGCGCUCUUCCGCCUCUCCCGGACCUCCUUCCGCGGCCGCGUCCCCGCGGCCGAGGCCUGGUUCCGGCAGCUCGCCGCCAAGCGCGCCCGCGAGGUCUCCCUCUGCUUCUCGCCCGAGUGGUGCCACGACGCGCUCGCCGACCCGCUUCUCGGCUGCCCAACCCUCCGGGUCCUCGCCCUUGGCAAGUGCCACCUCUCCGACGCCGGGGCCUCGGCCGCCGCCGCCGCCGCCCUCACCGAGCUCACCCUGUCGGAAACCUGCAUUUCCGAGGCCGCCCUUCAGAGCGUACUCUCCGGCUGCCCCGCGCUGCGCAGCCUCGUGCUCAAGCACGUCCACGGCCUUCAGCGCAUCCGCGUCUCUUCUUGCCGCAGCCUCAUUCUGCUCGGUGUGUGGCACUACAAGCAGCUCGACGAGAUCACCGUGGAGGAUGCCCCUUGUCUGGAGCGCCUUCUCGGCAAUAUGCGUCUGAAUGCAGCCAUUACCGUCACUGGCGCGCCAAAGCUUACUGCUUUUGGCUAUGCCGUGGUCAGCAUCCCGCAUUUGUUCCACGGCGAGCGUGCGCCGCAGGGCGUCAACAAGGGUCUGCGUGCCCCGAUCCAUAGCGUGAAGAUCCUGGCUAUCAAUGUGAAGUUCUCAAGCAAGAAGGACAUGGAGAAGGUGAUGAGCUUACUCGAGAGCUUUCCCUGCUUGGAGACUUUGCAUUUCCAGUCCUCGGAUUACAGGUCAGGUGCAGACAAGGAUUACACCACUGUCUCUGACUACAUCCAGAAGCGUUAUCCCAUCAGGUGUGUUGCGAGAUAUCUCAAGAGCAUUAUACUGGAAUGCGAGCAACACAACCCUGGCAUGCUUGAAUUUGCAUGUUUUCUCCUUGCAAGAGCACAUGUGCUGCAGUUCAUGAGGAUUCAGUCCGAGAUGUGCGACGUCCCAAAAUGGGUUACGGAGCAGCAAAAUCUGCUCAGCCAAAGCAACAUGGCCUCCCUGGAAGCCGAGGUCGUGUUUGAGGGUAUGAAACAACGCAAGGACUUCACCAUAGAAGGUGUGAAUGCUCUAGCUGACCCCUUUGACGGGGGCAUCAACAUCUUGGGGCACUAA